rnacentral:rRNA from 1 species
AUUGAACGCUGGCGGCAGGCUUAACACAUGCAAGUCGAGCGGGGGAAGGUAGCUUGCUACCGGACCUAGCGGCGGACGGGUGAGUAAUGCUUAGGAAUCUGCCUAUUAGUGGGGGACAACAUCUCGAAAGGGAUGCUAAUACCGCAUACGUCCUACGGGAGAAAGCAGGGGAUCUUCGGACCUUGCGCUAAUAGAUGAGCCUAAGUCGGAUUAGCUAGUUGGUGGGGUAAAGGCCUACCAAGGCGACGAUCUGUAGCGGGUCUGAGAGGAUGAGCCGCCACACUGGGACUGAGACACGGCCCGUACUGCUACGGGAGGCAGCAGUGGGGAAGAUUGGACAAUGGGGGGAACCCUGAUCCGGCCAUGCCGCGUGUGUGAAGAAGGCCUUAUGGUUGUAAAGCACUUUAAGCGAGGAGGAGGCUACUUUAGUUAAUACCUAGAGAUAGUGGACGUUACUCGCAGAAUAAGCACCGGCUAACUCUGUGCCAGCAGCCGCCGUAA